ACAAAGGAAAAGGUAUCUUUGAUAUAUGCAGGAAAUGUGAUGCUCAGCAAUGAUCCAGAGGCCAAUCCCUUCCUGAGAGACUGUAUAAAAGGAGACGGUGCAUAACACAGAUCCCACAGAUCCAAGCACCCUCCUCCUGCCUUCUACCACUUGGUCUUGACCCAGCUCCAUCACUCCAAGAUGUCCUGCUGCUACUACCCAUGCUGCCCACAGCCCUGCCCACAGCCCUGCCCUGUCCCAGUCUGCCCUAUCCCAGUCUGCCCCCCACCCCCACCCCCACCCCCAACUUGUAUCCGCUACCCAGUCGGGGCUCUGGGCUCACUGGGCUGUGACAGCUCAUCAGGUGGAAGCUCAUCAGGGGGCAGAUCAUCAGGGGGCAGAUCAUCAGGGGGCAGAUCAUCAGGAGGUGGCUCUGGCAGCAAUGGUGGCAAUGGUGGCGCUGGUGGCAUGGUACCAUCUGCUAGCCUCGGCAUAGUCCCUGGGGCCAGCUGUGGUUGCAUCACUCAGCUCCCACCAUCUGAAGUGAUCAUCCAGCCAGCUCCUGCUUGUGUGGUCAUCCCAGGACCAAUGCUCGUCGCCAGCAGUGAACCGACCCGUGUGGGAGGAUAUUCUGCCUGUCUUUCAGGAGGAGGCAAUGGAGGAAACAACGGGGGAAACAAUGGUGGAAACAAUGGGGGUAACAACGGAGGAAGCAAUGGAGGAGGCAAUGGGGGAAACAAUGGAGGAGGCAAUGGGGGAAACUAUUCUGGGGUGUGCUACUAUCCCGGCAAGGUCACCUGUUAUCCCUGUUAAGCUCCAAGUCAAUGGUCACAGGAACUGGGGAUUCACUUUUGAAAAAAGGAUACCCGGAAAACCACAAUACGGAUUCACGGCUGAUGUCAUUGUCCCGGGCCUUGGUGUCAUGAACGCUGAGCUUCCUCACUCCACAUCUCCAUCAAUGGGAUAUGCGGCUGCUCAGCAUUCCUGAUGCUUGUGUCCAUCUACUCUUUAUGCUAAAUUGUCAAUCUGCUGCUUUGACUUCUUGCACUUCUUCUUUUCCACUUGGGCUUCUUUUCAGACCAUCGGAAUGGGUUAGAAACCUGCAAACACACAAGAUAAUAUCCUGUUGUUGUUGUGUGUUUUUUUUCCUCUCUUUCUGACUAUUCUAAAGGACACCCAAGCUUUUGAUGCCUCAAGUGUUCUUCUAAACCCAUGACUACCCUUGAAUACAUUUGCUAUUUUCAUGUGCUCUCUGUUUCAUUCAUUAAAGCAUAUCUGCAUGCAUUGAAAAAAAAA